rnacentral:rRNA from 1 species
AUUGAACGCUAGCGGGAUGCUUUACACAUGCAAGUCGACCGAGUGGCGGACGGGUGAGUAAUAUAUCGGAACGUGCCCAGUAGCGGGGGAUAACUACGCGAAAGAGUGGAUAAUACCACAUACUAUUGGAGCGGGCGAUAGCGGAUUGGCUAGUUGGGGGGGUAAAGGCUCACCAAGGCAACGAUCCGUAGCGGGUUUGAGAGGACGACCAGGCACACUGGGACUGAGACACGGCCCAGACUCCUACGGGAGGCAGCAGUGGGGAAUUUUGGACAAUGGGGGAAACCCUGAUCCAGCCAUCCCGCGUGUAUGAGAAGGCCUUCGGGGUGUAAAGUACUUUUGGCUGAGAAGCGGUAUCUGCAGAAUAAGCACCGGCUAACUACGUGCCAGCAGCCGCGGUAAUUC